AUGGCACUGGGAUGGCUUUGGGGCCGUGCCAUGGCACAGAGGUGGCACCAGGACAUGGCACUGGGAUGUGACAUGGCACAAGGGUGGCUUUGGGGACAUGCCAUGGCACAGAGGUGGCUUUGGGGCCGUGCCAUGGCACAGAGGUGGCACUGGGAUGUGACACUGGGAUGUGACACAGCACAGAGGUGGCUUUGGGGCUGUGACAGCGGUGGCACAGCGCGGAGGUGGCCGUGGGGUGGUGCUGUAGGGCGACACGAGGCCGUGACACGGAGGUGGCUUUGGGGACAGAUGGGGGGCGCGGUGACGUCGGGGCCACGCGGUGACAAUCAGUGGUGGCGGUGGUCCCAUUCUUUGUCCCCCCCCCCCAUUUUGGUGUGUGUCCCCCCCCCGCCCCCCCCCCGUGUCCCCGCAGCACGUGCAGUUUUAGUGCAUUGUGGGCGCGGGGCGGCGGCUCCGCCUCGUUAUCCUUGUUAUUAAUUAUUAUUAUUAUUGUUAUUAUUAUUAUUAUUAUUAUUAUAAAUGCGCAUGUGGAACCUGA
rnacentral:lncRNA from 1 species